rnacentral:rRNA from 1 species
AGAGUUUGAUCCUGGCUCAGGAUGAACGCUGGCAAGAUGCUUUCACAUGCAAGUCAUACGAGAGUUUUUAACUCAAGUGGCGGACGGGUGAGUAACACGUAAGAAUUUGCCUUUAGGAGGGGGAUAACAACUGGAAAUGGUUGCUAAUACCCCAUAUGCUUUCGAGUGAAAUGGAUUUUUCCGCCUAGAGAGAAGCUUGCGCCUGAUUAGCUUGUUGGAAAGGUAAUGGCUUACCAAGGCGACGAUCAGUAUCUGGUUUGAGAGGACGAUCAGACACACUGGAACUGAGACACGGUCCAAACUCCUACGGGAGGCAGCAGUGGGGAAUUUUCCGCAAUGGGCGAAAGCCUGACGGAGCAAUACCGCGUGAGGGAUGACGGCCUAUGGGUUGUAAACCUCUUUUUUCAGGGAGGAAUCAAUGACGUGUACCUGAAGAAUAAGCAUCGGCUAACUCCGUGCCAGCAGCCGCGGUAAGACGGAGGAUGCAAGUGUUAUCCGAAAUCACUGGGCGUAAAGCGUCUGUAGGUGGUCAAAUAAGUCAACUGUUAAAUCUUGAGGCUCAACCUCAAAACCGCAGUCGAAACUAUUAGACUAGAGUAUAGUAGGGGUAAAGGGAAUUUCCAGUGGAGCGGUGA